AAGAACAGUGCAUCAACAGUGCUCAAGGGACCUAUUGUGGAAGCCUUGGAGAAUGAUGCAAAAUUGGGUCUGUGGACAGAUUUUAAUUGAUGUGGUGGAUGGGGAAGAGAGAGGGGCCAUGUUCGGACAUAACGCCAAACCAGAGCAGCCUGACACACAGAAAUUAAGCAGCUGGCACCUUUCCUGGCACAGUGACAGCCCAAGACCACUUUGUAUCUGAGGUACAUCAUCAAACACUGCUGCUCCCAACUCCAUUUUUUCGAGCAGCAGCAGAGAUUGCCAAUAGCAAAUAAGGGAGAAGGCAGCGUGAAGAGGAGGAGUCAAUCAAGAGGCGAGGACUUUCCUGAGCCAAUAGAGGAGCAGCAGUGGAGGGCAGAGCCUAUUGUCUGCUCCUGCCAUGGCAAGCCACAAGCACCAGGUCUGCUGCAGAGUGAGCGGAGGAAGGCAGGGGCGUAGCAAGCUUCCCUGGGGCCUGGGGACAAAGAUCAAGAAGGGGGCCCCUAUCACGCACACAAAGUGCCCCAGUGCCCCAAGCCACACCCCCUGUGUCUGGUGUCAGAUGCAAGGGAGCGGGGCAACGUGCUUGUCUCUUCCUCCUCUCCACUGCAAUGUCCAGAGAUGGCAAAUCCAAGGGUGCUUUACAAAACAGCACUUCCAUUCAGAAAGGAGGAGGGAAACGCAGCCCUUACCAAGCCCUGCACAGCUGACGGUGGAUCUGCCACUUUGUGUCCUCCAAACAGAAAGAGCUGCACCAGCUUCUGGUGGCCCCUGCACCUCGCCACUGCAGAAGAGAAAUGGAGUGGGUGCAUGUGCGCGUUCCCUGGGCUCUAAUUGUUCAGCUCUAAUGUGAGAAAUAUUGGCAGGGGAGUGGGCAGCAGUGGCAGCUCCCCAGAUCACUGGGAGGCCGCCCAGGAAGCAGGAGGCCUCUGUCUGUGAGGCCCUUGUGGGCCCCCUGACCCUCCGGACCCAGGAUAUUUGCCUUCCCUUGUCCAGUGGACCCUAUGCUUAUGGUGGAAGGGCCAGCACAGACAUUCGAACCAGUGAGGAAAAAGUUGGGAGAAAUCAUGAAUAUCUUGUACAUACUUGCCAAAACAUGGCACUCGCUUGCACUGAAGUAUUUAAAGCUGUAUGAAAUUUAAA